rnacentral:rRNA from 1 species
UGUUCAAACUUGGUCAUUUAGAGGAAGUAAAAGUCGUAACAAGGUUUCCGUAGGUGAACCUGCGGAAGGAUCAUUACAAGUGAGGCUACCGAACGCUGGAAACAGCGGUUAGGAGCUUACACCCACCCGUGUUUACAUACUAUUGUUGCUUUGGCGGGCCGUGGCCUCCACUGCGGGCUCUGCUCGUGUGUGCCCGCCAGAGGACCAAACUCUGAAUGUUAGUGAUGUCUGAGUACUAUCUAAUAGUUAAAACUUUCAACAACGGAUCUCUUGGUUCUGGCAUCGAUGAAGAACGCAGCGAAAUGCGAUAAGUAAUGUGAAUUGCAGAAUUCAGUGAAUCAUCGAAUCUUUGAACGCACAUUGCGCCCUGUGGUAUUCCGCAGGGCAUGCCUGUUCGAGCGUCAUUUAACCACUCACGCCUAGCGUGGUAUUGGGGCACGCGGUCUCCGCGGCCCUCAAAAUUAGUGGCGGUGCCGGUGGGCUCUAAGCGUAGUACAUACUCCCGCUAUAGAGUUCCCCCCGGUGGCUCGCCAGAACCCCCAAUUUUUACAGGUUGACCUCGGAUCAGGUAGGGAUACCCGCUGAACUUAA